rnacentral:misc_RNA from 1 species
AGCUAGCCCCGAUAGAGCCGAUAUCCUCGUAGUCCCGAUCCCGAAGCUUCGGGACGGGACGAAGAGAUAAAGGCGAGAGCGGGAAUUUUG